rnacentral:rRNA from 1 species
GACGAACGCUGGCGGCGUGCUUAACACAUGCAAGUCGAACGGAAAGGCCCUGCGUUUGUGGGGUGCUCGAGUGGCGAACGGGUGAGUAACACGUGAGUAACCUGCCCUUGACUUUGGGAUAACUUCAGGAAACUGGGGCUAAUACCGGAUCGGAGCUCCUGCUGCAUGGAGGGGGUUGGAAAGUUUCGGCGGGUGGGGAUGGACUCGCGGGUUAUGAGCUAGUUGGUGGGGGAGUGGCUGACCAAGUGUGUGACGGAUAGCCGGCCUGAGAGGGUGACCGGGGACAAUGGGACUGCGAGACGCAGCAGUCUCGAACGUGAGGCAGCAGUGGGGAACAUUGCACAAUGAGCGCAAGUCUGUGACAGCAACGCCGCGUGUGGGAUGCCGGCUUUUGGGGUGAAAACCGCUUUCGCCUGAGACGAAGCGUGAGUGACGGUACUGGGUAAAGAAGCACCGGCUAACUACGUG